GCUUGCUUGCUUCAUUGUUUUGGUGUAGACGAGUCAGAUCUAUUUCCAGCAUUUGCAUUAAUAGAUAUUUUCAGUGUGGGCUUGUCGAUUGUAUACAGUUCUCUCUAAUUUACAUGAUAGCUCUUGGAAUGGAGCUUAUGCGCGCAGUUGCUUGCAUGUAUUAAUACUACAAGGGAAUUUAUGGGGUGCAACCCCUCUGCAACUACGGUCUCAGGAAAUUUCGAGAGCCUAAGCGAGUUAGUGGUUUGUGAUUGUUGGAACUUGAGUAUAAUUCCAUGGCCAUCAUCCAAUUCAGCAGGAAUUUGAGGUAUUAACAAAGAGGCAUUACAGCAAGACCACCUCUGCUUCUCCUCAACUCAAAAUACAAAACUUGAGUCAACUAACUAGAAAGAUGGAUUAGAGCAUCAAUGAAUCAUUAAAGGAUACCCAACUAGGUUCAGUAAUUGUGAAACGGUUGGGAAAUCGUCUAAGAAUCGAGGAAAGGAAAUAGUCUACUCAGUUUAUCACCCAGUUCAAUCAACCCAGAAACCUCUUUCCCC
rnacentral:lncRNA from 1 species